rnacentral:rRNA from 1 species
UACAGAGGUCCCGAGCGUUGUUCGGAUUCACUGGGCGUAAAGGGUGCGUAGGUGGCUGGGAAAGUUUGAUGUGAAAGCUCAGGGCUUAACCCUGAAAUGGCAUUGAAUACUGCCUGGCUGGAGGUUUGGAGGGGGACUGGAAUUCUUGGUGUAGCAGUGAAAUGCGUAGAUAUCAAGAGGAACACCAGUGGCGAAGGCGAGUCCCUGGACGACACCUGACACUGAGGCACGAAAGCCGGGUAGGGACAAACAGG